CCUACGGGAGGCAGCAGUGGGGAAUUUUGGACAAUGGGCGCAAGCCUGAUCCAGCCAUGCCGCGUGCGGGAAGAAGGCCUUCGGGUUGUAAACCGCUUUCGGCCGGAACGAAAUCGCCCGGGUGAACAUCCCGGGUGGAUGACGGUACCGGAAGAAGAAGCACCGGCUAACUACGUGCCAGCAGCCGCGGUAAUACGUAGGGUGCGAGCGUUAAUCGGAAUUACUGGGCGUAAAGCGUGCGCAGGCGGUCUCGUAAGACAGGUGUGAAAUCCCCGGACUCAACCUGGGAACUGCGCUUGUGACUGCGAGGCUGGAGUGUGGCAGAGGGAGGUGGAAUUCCACGUGUAGCAGUGAAAUGCGUAGAGAUGUGGAGGAACACCGAUGGCGAAGGCAGCCUCCUGGGCCAGCACUGACGCUCAUGCACGAAAGCGUGGGGAGCAAACAGGAUUAGAUACCCUGGUAGUCCACGCCCUAAACGAUGACGACUAGUUGUUGGGGUAGAAGUACCUUAGUAACGCAGCUAACGCGUGAAGUCGUCCGCCUGGGGAGUACGGUCGCAAGAUUAAAACUCAAAGGAAUUGACGG
rnacentral:rRNA from 1 species